rnacentral:rRNA from 1 species
CCUACGGGGGGCAGCAGUGAGGAAUAUUGGUCAAUGGACGCAAGUCUGAACCAGCCAUGCCGCGUGCAGGAAGACGGCUCUAUGAGUUGUAAACUGCUUUUGUACGAGGGUAAACGCAGAUACGCGUAUCUGUCUGAAAGUAUCGUACGAAUACGGAUCGGCUAACUCCGUGCCAGCCGCCCCGGUAAUACGGAGGGUUCAAGCGUUAUCCGGAUUUAUUGGGUUUAAAGGGUGCGUAGGCGGUCGGAUAAGUUAGAGGUGAAAUCCCGAGGCUCAACUUCGGAAUUGCCUCUGAUACUGUUCGGCUAGAGAGUAGUUGCGGUAGGCGGAAUGUAUGGUGUAGCGGUGAAAUGCUUAGAGAUCAUACAGAACACCGAUGGCGAAGGCAGCUUACCAAGCUACUUCUGACGUUGAGGCACGAAAGCGUGGGGAGCAAACAGGAUUAGAUACCCCUGUAGUC